GCAGUUGCAGCCGGAAAGGAGCAGUAAUUAUAGCUCUUCUGAAAUUCUUUGUUCCGGAGAUCUUUGUCUUUCUUGGCUUCGGCGUCUCUUCUUGGCAGGAAUGUUAGAGUGCUGACUUUCAACGGACAUUGCAUUCCUGAGAUGAUUUACAGCCAGAGACCUGCGGAAGAAGAUUACCACGGGAAGCCGAGAAGGAGCUGGUAUUGGACCAGAC